rnacentral:lncRNA from 1 species
CAAAUUUAAGUCCUCCCGGAUACGUGCUAGAAAGAAGGUGGAAAUUUGGGGUGUUGGUGUGCUUAGUCAUUCGCUCCCGUAACAGGAGUCACUGAACGUGGGGUGAGGGGAUCAGCCCAGACUUCAGGGAACCUAGCAGUGUUUGGGGCAAGCGAUGCUGGGUGUAUAACCAGAGAGCGUUUUUGGGAGUCUCGGGGUGAGCAGGAGGUGACGGAAGGGACUUCUGGUUGUCCCCAGACCCAACACGGAUGAGGGGAGCUGGUUCACGGCCGAGGUUUGCCAGGCUGUGCUGAUGGGCUAGAGAGGAAAGAGGUUUCCGGUUUGGGGGAGCUGGUGGUUGGCACCACACCUAACCAAAUAAGGAAUGUGUGAGGACAGCAGAUGUGGGUACGGGCGAGGGAAGUGGGCCCAAGUGCUGCCCUGGGCCUGUGGCAUUGGCUGGGAUGGAAGUGCCCAGCGGGCCCCUGCAGGCCCAGGGAGACUGGGAAGCAGAGAUGCAGAUGCGGGCGUUGCCGUCCAGCGGACCUGCCAGCCCCAGGAGCUCCUGCAGAAGGCAGAGCUGCCACGCUGAGCUCCCUCACAGACGCCGCUGCAGGGAAGAUUCUUCCGUGUUUUUAAAGGUCUGGUGAGACCCCCCCCUCCCCGCAACCCAGGGGUCACAGUUCACAUGGUGGAUAAGUGCCUCCCACGAUAAGACUGACUUCCUUUCAGAAUCCCGGCCUUAGCAGCUCUGGCUCUUCGUGCUUCCUCUCCGGAGAGAAAGGGCUAGAACCGAGCCUCGAGCGGAUGGGACCCCUAACGCGCAGACCUCUCCUUGCAAACCGUGCUUCUGCCCAGCCGCCGAGGCCCGGCAGCCCCCCGCUGGUAUGAGGGCACCGGAGCCGCGGUCCUCCGUCCCAGAGCCGCUCAGCCAGUGACCGGCGCGCCCUGCGAGCCUCGAGCCCCCCGCGGCCGCUCCUCGUGCUGUCGAAGUAAGCCCGUUUGCCCGCGGGAGCGCCACUGGGGUCCCGCUGGGGAGGAGCGCC